rnacentral:rRNA from 1 species
GGGAGGCAGCAGUGGGGAAUAUUGCACAAUGGGCGAAAGCCUGAUGCAGCGACGCCGCGUGAGGGAUGACGGCCUUCGGGUUGUAAACCUCUUUCAGCAGGGAAGAAGCGAAAGUGACGGUACCUGCAGAAGAAGCGCCGGCUAACUACGUGCCAGCAGCCGCGGUAAUACGUAGGGCGCAAGCGUUAUCCGGAAUUAUUGGGCGUAAAGAGCUCGUAGGCGGUUUGUCGCGUCUGCUGUGAAAGCCCGGGGCUCAACCCCGGGUCUGCAGUGGGUACGGGCAGACUAGAGUGCAGUAGGGGAGACUGGAAUUCCUGGUGUAGCGGUGAAAUGCGCAGAUAUCAGGAGGAACACCGAUGGCGAAGGCAGGUCUCUGGGCUGUAACUGACGCUGAGGAGCGAAAGCAUGGGGAGCGAACAGGAUUAGAUACCCUGGUAGUCCAUGCCGUAAACGUUGGGCACUAGGUGUGGGGGACAUUCCACGUUUUCCGCGCCGUAGCUAACGCAUUAAGUGCCCCGCCUGGGGAGUACGGCCGCAAGGCUAAAACUCAAAGGAAUUGACGGGGGCCCGCACAAGCGGCGGAGCAUGCGGAUUAAUUCGAUGCAACGCGAAGAACCUUACCAAGGCUUGACAUGAACCGGUAAGACCUGGAAACAGGUCCCCCACUUGUGGCCGGUUUACAGGUGGUGCAUGGUUGUCGUCAGCUCGUGUCGUGAGAUGUUGGGUUAAGUCCCGCAACGAGCGCAACCCUCGUUCUAUGUUGCCAGCGGGUUAUGCCGGGGACUCAUAGGAGACUGCCGGGGUCAACUCGGAGGAAGGUGGGGACGACGUCAAAUCAUCAUGCCCCUUAUGUCUUGGGCUUCACGCAUGCUACAAUGGCCGGUACAAAGGGUUGCGAUACUGUGAGGUGGAGCUAAUCCCAAAAAGCCGGUCUCAGUUCGGAUUGAGGUCUGCAACUCGACCUCAUGAAGUUGGAGUCGCUAGUAAUCGCAGAUCAGCAACGCUGCGGUGAAUACGUUCCCGGGCCUUGUACACACCGCCCGUCAAGUCACGAAAGUUGGU